GUCUUCUAUGUUCCAGGCCAUGUCCUUGGCACUGGGAAUGGAGAAAAACCCUGUCCCUCAAGGAGCUCACAGUCUAGUGGGGGCAAAAGACACAUAAAUAUAUAAAUAUAAUGCAGAAUAUGCAAAAGGGACCACUAUGGGAGGCAAAGGACAGAGGCCUCCAAUUCUAUGGUUAAUGUCCACAGGAAAGGAAGACCUGGCAUUUUUUGUGAGGAACACAUAAGGCAAUGGUUUUCAAAGUGUGGCUGGUGAAUCACCUGCAGCUGAAUCAUCUGAAGCACAUCUUAAAAUGCAGAUUCCCAGCAUUUCCUGCAAAGAUUGAUGCAGUAGGCUGAAGUUUGGGACUUGGGAAUCUGCAUUCUGAAGUGUUCAAGUUCUUUGCCAGAUCUUGCUAGACUCAGAGGUACAACAAAAAAGACACAGCUCAGAAAAUAAUGGAAGUCCAACCCCAUUUAAAGAACUUGGGGACAGGCCC